GGAAGGCAAGACACAUACAUCUACUUACCACAGAUAGAGAGCUCAUGACAGGCCAAAGUACGGAUACCACCAAAGUGCAACUUGGUGAACCAAUGAGUUUUAUUGCAGUUUCUUACAGGAGCCGAAAAGACUCAAAGACAGCUGCAUCACCAAGGCCCUCCCCAGCAGAAAGCCCACCCCAACGUGCAAGACAGCUUGCAAAUCCUGUAGGCAGCUUAGCCAGUUGGAGAGUGUCCUUUCCAGGUUUCUCUGUUGGUCUAAACCUCUUCCAGAAGCUCAGCUGGUUUCUGCUUUUUCCAGGCAGCUGCCUUGUCUUAGCAGCUUCUUGGUUUGUCUGGGUCUUCUUUGCAGAUGACAGCUUUUAUUGUUGACUCUGUCAGAGAGGAGCCUAGUGAAUCUGGUCUGUUUCAGGGACUUCCUGAAUUUAUUUUGAGUUGUUUACUUUCCUGUUUAAGGAGCUUCCCUGUAGGAUGAAAUGUUUCAAUCUCGGAGGAAACCGUUGUACAACAGCACCACAUGUGUACAAUGUCAGGAGAGGCCAGAAGAGAGCAUUCCCUUGGAACUGGAGUUACAGAUGGUUGUGAGCAAGGAAUAAAACUUUGGUUCUUUGCUAGUACUCUUCUGAACCAUCUCCCCAGCCCCUAAAACAUCUUUUUGAUUCUUGGCUGUAUCAGCAGAUGCAGAAGGACCAACUGGGGUCUUCUUAUUCUCCACCAGUACCCUCUAAAUGUCCCUCCUUCCUCCCCUAGAAGACUGUAGGCUCUUUGCAGGGCAGAGACUGCCACCAACAAUGAGAAAGACAGCAACUCUGACUGGUUGACACUUCUCAGGUGCCAAGCCCAGAGCUAAGUGAUUUACAUAAUGAUCUCAUUCCACGAUAACAAUAAACCUGUAUUAUCAUCUCACUUCACAAAUGAAGAAACCGAAGCUUAGAGACAGAGUCACCCAGCUAGAAAACCGUAGAGCUAAAUUGUUUCCAUUUCCAUCAGACUUCAAAAUCGGUUCUUUUCAUCAUAGUAUCAACUCUUUGGCCACUGUUGCUUCCAUCAAAUUUCCCUGAUGUUCUGGGAACCUCCAGCUGUCCUCAGUUCUUAGUGGUAGACAAGCCUCCUGCUGACUGUCCUCUCGGACUGCAGUCUCAGGGCUUUGGUGGCCUCCAGCCUGGAGGGUGGUUGGGAUGAGAACACUCAAAGCUCUGUCUCCUUCCACCCCCCACAUUCUUGCCUCUGUGCAUCCCUCCCUGUUUUACAACGCCUCUCUCCCACUCCUUUUCUUGGGGACAUUUAAGCAGCUAGAAGAUUCUCCCUGGACACUCCAGAGUCUCCGAGGCUGCGGGGAUGGUUUCUCUUAAUAAGAGUUGGUAAGAAGCCGUGCAUCCGUGAAGGUCCCCUAGGAGAUCACCUAGAUUAAAGACAAGGUUCCUUCAACCCCAGCUCAGCCACCUCUUUGGGACUCUUCUGCUACCCCAAUCUCCCGUGCCAUUGCGUUAAGCUCCACCCCUGUCCCAAUACCUUAAAGUUCGGGGGCUUCAUUCAAACCCUAAAUUUCCAAGUAGGGGGUGUGUUGGACUGACUUCCGGAGGCAUCUUGUCCUGGAAGAAUGGGGGAAAUGUGGCAGAAGCCACAGCUGCUGCCUCCAAGGACAUCUUUAUAGCUCCCCGGGGACCCUCUGCCCUUUCCCCCUCCCACAAGCCUGGGCGAGCAGGGACCAAGCUUGCUUGUUAUCACCUGACGCUGAGCAGCCUCUGAUCCCAUUGGUGGAGCCAGAUUCGGUCUGGCUCUCCCGUUCCUUCUCGAUUUCUCUGCCUCUCUCUCCUCCACGCUGCUUUGAUUUCGCUCUUGCUUCUCUCUUCUUGUGCACUCUCUCGCUGGGCUGCGAGCAACGUCGUCUUCUUGCCGGGAGCAGUAGCGGUAGCUGCAGAGCCAAACAGGAGUGGCUGCCUGUGGGGUAUGGAAGCAGCCUCCCCGGUGGUAGCCCAGAGAGAAACGAGCGAGCCCCGCUGCCUGUGACCUAGGAGUCAGGCUGCUGUCCCUUGCCUGGGGAGCUCAUCAUCCACAGAGAGGUCUCUCCUUUCCAUCUCUUCCAAGUCUCCCUCUGCAGGGCCGGCUGAAGCCAGGUGAGUGCGCGUCUUCCCCCCGAAAUCAUCCUGCCAAUCCAGAAAGGUUGAGAGCUGUGGCCACCAGGGUCCCACAACUGCCCUCGCUGUCCACCUGGGUUGCCAGGCCUGGCGACCUUGUCCCCUUUCCCCUAAGUCCUUGGCAAAGAGCUUAACAGCUGGAUCUGGUCUCCGGGGCGACACAGUUAGUUACCCCGUGACCAUUCUGCGCAGUCGGCAAUGCCAAAAGGUUCAGCUGGGUGGGGGAGCGUUCCCUAUGGCAUGCCAGUGGCUUUUUGGAAUGGGCUUGGGGAAGGGACCCCAGUGUGGACAAGGUGUCUGCAUGGUUGGGAGGAGGCUGGAGGCUAGCUUGUGUAGAUAAG
ensembl:lncRNA